AGACCCAUCUCGUAUGAGCGGCGGACGGGUGAGUAAUGUCUGGGAAACUGCCUGCUGGAGGGGGAUAACUACUGGAAACGGUAGCUAAUACCGCAUACCAUCAGAUGUGCCCAGAUGGGCUUAGCUAGUAGGUGGGGUAAUGGCUCACCUAGGCGACGAUCCCUAGCUGGUCUGAGAGGAUGACCAGCCACACUGGAACUGAGACACGGUCCAGACGCCUACGGGAGGCAGCAGUGGGGAAUAUUUCACAAUGGGAGCAAGCCUGAUGCAGACAUGCCGCUUGGGGGAAGAAGGCCUGCGGGUUGUAAAGCACUUUCAGCGAGGAGGCGUUACUCGCAGAAGAAGCACCGGCUAACUCCGUGCCAGCAGCCGCGGUAAUAC
rnacentral:rRNA from 1 species